GAUGAACGCUGGCGGCGUGCUUAACACAUGCAAGUCGAACGGGAAUUAUUUUAUUGAAACUUCGGUCGAUUUAAUUUAAUUCUAGUGGCGGACGGGUGAGUAACGCGUGGGUAACCUGCCUUAUACAGGGGGAUAACAGUCAGAAAUGGCUGCUAUUCCCGCUUAACGCACCAGGUCGCCAUGGCUCGGGGGAAAAACCUCGGGUGGUAUAAGAUGGACCCGCUUUGGAUUAGCUGGUUGGUGGGGUAACGGCCCACCAAGGCGACGAUCCAUAGCCGGCCUGAGAGGGUGAACGGCCACAUUGGGACUGAGACACGGCCCAGACUCCUACGGGAGGCAGCAGUGGGGAAUAUUGCACAAUGGGGGAAACCCUGAUGCAGCGACGCCGCGUGAAGGAAGAAGUAUCUCGGUAUGUAAACUUCUAUCAGCAGGGAAGAUAGUGACGGUACCUGACUAAGAAGCCCCGGCUAACUACGUG
rnacentral:rRNA from 1 species